rnacentral:lncRNA from 1 species
UAAAGGAAGAUGAUGUUCAUUUGACUGAUCUAGGAAAUGACAUAUUUCUAAAUAAUUUGCAAGGACAAUUUAGGUGCGCUUGAAAUCUUUAUUUGUUCUGGUUCUUAAACAUAUCCAGAUACAUUUGGUACUAGUAUGUGUAUAUCUUAGAUAAUUUUAAAACAGUAUUGGCCACAGUUCAUGUCCUAUCGCAGCUUCAUCCCCACUUUAGUGGCGUUUGAUCCGGUACGGUUGAGUUUGACAUAUACCGUACCUAAUCAAUUUGGCAACUUCGCUGCGUGUGAUAAACUACAGUUACAGUUGUCUAUAUUUUAGUGAUAUUA